CGCAGUGUCUUUGAUUAUUGUAUAAUUAAUAACAUUUACCACAACAGAGUCAGUGUGCUUGCCCCCUACUUGGGUUUGUUUGCUCAUGAAAAGGUAUGCAGCAGAUCCUCAUCCCCUUCAUGGGCUUUAAGCGAGAAGAUGUCAGUAGGUGCGUUGGUGGUGCCGUUAACAGUACUGUGCUUAGGUCGUCUGUUAGUGGAGCCCUUGUGGUGAUCCAGAUAGAUCACGAUCACAGUGAUGUCAUCAUGGAAAUGGCGCCUUAUUCCUUUUUCUAUUCUCUUAAUGUCCUGGUAACUCAUCUCCCUCUUCUUUGCAGCCUCAUGAAGUGCAGC
rnacentral:lncRNA from 1 species